rnacentral:rRNA from 1 species
AACCAGCACCUCAAGUGGUCAGGAUGAUUAUUGGGCCUAAAGCAUCCGUAGCCGGCUCUGUAAGUUUUCGGUUAAAUCUGUACGCUCAACGUACAGGCUGCCGGGAAUACUGCAGAGCUAGGGAGUGGGAGAGGUAGACGGUACUCGGUAGGAAGGGGUAAAAUCCUUUGACCUAUUGAUGACCACCUGUGGCGAAGGCGGUCUACCAGAACACGUCCGACGGUGAGGGAUGAAAGCUGGGGGAGCAAACCGGAUUAGAUACCCGGGUAGUCCCAGCCGUAAACUAUGCAAACUCAGUGAUGCAUUGGCUUGUGGCCAAUGCAGUGCUGCAGGGAAGCCGUUAAGUUUGCCGCCUGGGAAGUACGUACGCAAGUAUGAAACUUAAAGGAAUUGGCGGGGAGCACCACAAGGGGUGAAGCCUGCGGUUC